AUACUCUGGUUUCUCUUCAUAUCGAAAAAAUCUUUCGCCUUUUACUAAAGAUUUCCGUGGAGAGGAACAAUUAUGAGUUUCUUAUAAUUUUUUGAUGCUCGGUGAAAACUGGGCU